rnacentral:rRNA from 1 species
UACGUAGGGUGCAAGCGUUGUCCGGAAUUAUUGGGCGUAAAGAGCUCGUAGGCGGUUCGUCGCGUCGGCUGUGAAAACCUGAGGCUCAACCUCAGGCCUGCAGUCGAUACGGGCGGACUUGAGUACUGCAGGGGAGACUGGAAUUCCUGGUGUAGCGGUGAAAUGCGCAGAUAUCAGGAGGAACACCGGUGGCGAAGGCGGGUCUCUG